GUGGGAUCAUAACGUAUAAAGCCGAAAAUUUCUGAAUUUAAAAAAUCGAUUUAUGCAUUUUCAAGUUUUCAAAAUUCUUUUCCAGAAUCGCAGGGUACAAAAAAAAACUCUACGGAGUCGUCUAAUAAUACUUCAUACAUACGAGUAACUAAUCUUCCUUUUGAAAAUACUCCUUUGUGUGAACCUCUCGCCCGGAGUUGGCAUCUUGUAUAUAGCGAUGAUGAAGACAUAGAUAUCAAGGAUGAAAUAAUUGAAAUUCCAGAAAUUUCUUCGAAGCUAGUUUCAGUACAAGGAGGAAAUAAAGAAUUUCAAUUUCAGUGCGACUUAUGUUUUGAAGUGAUGCCCUUCAGGAGUCACCUUAAUCGACAUAUGCGUCAACAUUUAAAAGAUUCCUGUGAUAAUCCAGAAAAUAAAUAUAAGUGUGAUGAAUGCAAAACUAGUUAUGCUUGGGAGCAAAGCUUACUUCAUCAUAAGCAUCGCGAACACUGCAAACCUCCCAGGAUUUGUGAAUGCUUUCUUUUUAUGAAAACUUUGUUGCAGUAUAAGAAUCAUUGAAAUGUGCAGAUACGUAACGUUUUAGAUUCUCGUUCCUCCUAAUUUUAAAAUAGAAUUUAUAUUUACAUGUAGAUGGAAAAUUCUAAAAAUAAAAUAAUAACGUUGCGAAGAUUUUGAUGUCAAAUUGAAGCAGAAUUUAAUACAUAAUGUUUCCUAAUUGUAAAAAGUGGAAUAUUCUCACAACAUAUAAAAUAAAACAUUUCGGAAUAU